UGGUGACCAUACCGGCAGGGCCAUACCUGAUCCCAUCCCGAACUCAGAAGUCAAGCCUGCCAGGGCCGAUGGUACUGCUUGGGAAGCUAAGUGGGAGAGUAGGUUGUUGCUG
rnacentral:rRNA from 1 species